AGCUUUGCAAAACAGUAGUAUCAUAGCCAAUGAGAUUUAUCCAAGGCAUGAUUAUUGCUAAUUGAAAACUUUUCCCAAUAACCAGC
ensembl:snRNA U4 U4 spliceosomal RNA